ACAGAUCAUUCUCGCCAUCACUCCAAAGACUUCUCGAACAUUGAGCAGGGAGCAGUGAGAGUCGCAACAACAAAAAAUCAAAGUGGAGUAAUCGAGUCAUCACCAUUGCGCGGAGAGAGUGAGACAGCGGUGAUUAUCCGGAGUCAAGACCAAGCACCCUAACAACCGAAAAACCCAACCAUUCUACGUAAUCUUGAUUACGAGUGAAUUGGUUCCAUCAAUUGAUUUCUAUCUCAUAUUAUAUUUUAUUUGCCUCCAAAGAAAGCACUCA
rnacentral:ribozyme from 1 species